AGCAUUUUCGUUUCAGAGGCCAUUAAUUGAUAAAUUGCAAGUUUGUGCCCCAUAGCUGCACAGACUGCCUGAAGUUACAUUUAGAGACUGAAAUCACUGCACCUUAAAAACAAAAGAUUGAGCUGCACUGUAUUCCUAAUGUUUCAUCAUUACUAACAGGAUAUCCCUCAUGACAUUGCUGUCUGGUUACAUACAGUGAACUAAACAAAUUAAGUGUAUACCUUGAUGAGUAUACAUGUGACAACACCCAACCCAAGAUACAGAAUAUUUAUAAUACCUAAGAAGAGUCCUUUGUAUGUGCCCCUUGAAGGUGAAAUUUUCCAAAGUUUUAACAAAAGAUCUUUGACCGUCAGUCUGUAACCUGCCCCUUCUCUUUAUAUGCAGCCGCUCUCUGCUCCCUGCCCCAAUGAACAUCUGCACUAGGCCCAAGCCUUGGAGUAAUUUACCUGAAGAGUGACACCAUUGAUUUUGAAACUACUGUAAUGGGAUGGUGUUUUACAGACUUCUAUGUUACUGGAAAAUGCUAAACCUGGGAGAUUAACAUCCCUCUUAGGCUUCA
rnacentral:sRNA from 1 species